rnacentral:rRNA from 1 species
GACGAACGCUGGCGGCGUGCUUAACACAUGCAAGUCGAACGCUGAAGCUCAGCUUUUGUUGGGUGGAUGAGUGGCGAAAGGGUGAGUAACACGUGAGUAACCUGCCCCCUUCUUUGGGAUAAAGCCCGGAAACGGGUGCUAAUACUGGAUAUUCACUGGUCUUCGCAUGGGGGUUGGUGGAAAGGGUUUUUCUGGUGGGGGAUGGGCUCGCGGCCUAUCAGCUUGUUGGUGGGGUGAUGGCCUACCAAGGCUUUGACGGGUAGCCGGCCUGAGAGGGUGACCGGUCACAUUGGGACUGAGAUACGGCCCAGACUCCUACGGGAGGCAGCAGUGGGGAAUAUUGCACAAUGGGCGCAAGCCUGAUGCAGCGACGCCGCGUGAGGGAUGGAGGCCUUCGGGUUGUGAACCUCUUUCGCUCAUGGUCAAGCCGCAACAAUGGUUGUGGUGAGGGUAGUGGGUAAAGAAGCGCCGGCUAACUACGUG